rnacentral:rRNA from 1 species
UGUGGAAGGGAUAAGUGCUGAAAGCAUCUAAGCAUGAAGCCCCCCUCAAGAUGAGAUUUCCCUUGGAGUUAAUCCAGUAAGACCCCUUAAAGAUGAUGAGGUUGAUAGGUCUCGGGUGGAAGCACGGUGACGUGUGGAGCUGAGAGAUACUAAUCGGUCGAGGACUUAUCCUAAA